rnacentral:rRNA from 1 species
CCCUUAGAUGUUCUGGGCCGCACGCGCGCUACACUGAAGGGAUCAGCGUGUUUUCCCUUUCCGAGAGGAACGGGUAACCCGCUGAACCCCCUUCGUGGUAGGGAUCGGAGCUUGCAAUUGUUCUCCGUGAACCAGGAAUUCCCAGUAAGCGCAAGUCAUAAGCUUGCGUUGAUUACGUCCCUACCCUUUGUACACACCGCCCGUCGCUACUACCGAUUGAACGUUUUAGUGAGGUAUUUGGACUGGGCCUUGGGAGGUUUCGGCCUCCCUUGUUGCUCGGAAAGACUCCCAAACUUGAGCGUUUAGAGGAAGUAAAAGUCGUAACA